GUCCCCGUAGUUCAAUGGAUAGAACAGACCCGUCCUAAGGGUCUAAUGGAGGUUCGAUUCCUCUCGGGGAUA
rnacentral:tRNA from 1 species